rnacentral:tRNA from 2 species
GCCGCUGUAGCUCAGUUGGUAGAGCAACGGACUGAAAAUCCGUGUGUCGGUGGUUCAACUCCACUCGGCGGCA